rnacentral:lncRNA from 1 species
UUUCAAGGCUGUUUGUUUGGUUGAGAUUGUUCGUGUAAAUUUUGGGGCUGUUUGGAAACAACUCACCUCAAUUGAGUUUGUUUUCAUCCAAAACUGUAUGUUUCACUUAAUUUGAGUGUUUUAGGUGAUAAUUUGUUGUUCUAUUGGAGAAUUACAAGUUCCGUGCAUUAAAUUUUAGAUUCACCAUUUUUUUCUUCUU